rnacentral:rRNA from 1 species
GAUGAACGCUGGCGGCGUGCCUAAUACAUGCAAGUCGAGCGAACAGACGAGGAGCUUGCUCCUCUGACGUUAGCGGCGGACGGGUGAGUAACACGUGGAUAACCUACCUAUAAGACUGGGAUAACUUCGGGAAACCGGAGCUAAUACCGGAUAAUAUAUUGAACCGCAUGGUUCAAUAGUGAAAGACGGUUUUGCUGACACUUAUAGAUGGCUCCGCGCCGCAUUAGCUAGUUGGUAAGGUAACGGCUUACCAAGGCAACGAUGCGUAGCCGACCUGAGAGGGUGAUCGGCCACACUGGAACUGAGACACGGUCCAGACUCCUACGGGAGGCAGCAGUAGGGAAUCUUCCGCAAUGGGCGAAAGCCUGACGGAGCAACGCCGCGUGAGUGAUGAAGGUCUUCGGAUCGUAAAACUCUGUUAUUAGGGAAGAACAAAUGUGUAAGUAACUAUGCACGUCUUGACGGUACCUAAUCAGAAAGCCACGGCUAACUACGUG